UAAUACCGUGAUCGAAUGAGAUGUAGCUAUAGGAAAUCCUGAAAGAGUGACAGAGCCCGAGAAAAGUUUUUGUCCUUAUCAGAAUCUCGCUUUAAUUUGUCUGCCCCGUGAGGUCACGGGGCAGACGAACUUUGUGGAGUAAACUUCAUGUGGACUAAAAUUUGUUUUUUAAAGUAUAAAUUGUGUUCUUUGUUCUUAAUUAAGUGUAAUAAUUAUUUCUUUAGAUAUUUAAAAUGGUGAAUUGUAGUGUUUUGGGCUGCAAAAGCCGCACUGAACGAAAAUGUGAAAAACAUAACCUUUCAUACUUUUCCACGAGAUGUCUUUGUUAAUAAAAUAUGGACAAAGGCGACAGGAAGAGACAGGAAGACAAAGGUGGCCUUCAUUAUCCGUCACCGUCAGUUAUUAAAUUAUGUGAAAUAGCGGAGGAAAUAUU
rnacentral:lncRNA from 1 species